rnacentral:rRNA from 1 species
AGCAGAAAAAACGCUGUGUGCCCCCGCAUUUUGGGCACCCGUGCCGUUGAGUACGCUGGAGAUGAUAUAAGAUAUGCACUGCAUGCUGAUACAAUGGGACUGAUAACAGCAUGCUCAGGACUACACCUAAGCUCAGAUUACACCUCAAUAGAAUUAACCUCCUCUAAAGAUUAAAAUCAUGCAAGUUAAACGAAAUCGAGACUACUUUGAGUAGCAGCAAGUUCUCGUCAACGAACCUGCCGAUAGGCGACUAACCGCAUCCCCCUACCUUCCGCAAACCACCUUUGACGUGCUUGACCGCGCCCCCCCUCCCCAUCAACCCACACACCUGUGCACCAAAGGGACGGCGGGUGGAUAACGCACGCCGUCUCGCUUUAACAAGCUCAAAAGUCUAUUUUGAAUGUCAUUUAUUCGGGCUAGCCCCGAUGUAACUUAAACAUAACAACUUUCAACAACGGAUCUCUUGGCUCUCGCAUCGAUGAAGAACGCAGCGAAAUGCGAUAAGUAAUGUGAAUUGCAGAAUUCAGUGAAUCAUCGAAUCUUUGAACGCACCUUGCGCCCAUUGGUAUUCCGAUGGGCAUGCCUGUUUGAGUGUCUUGAAAUCAUCAAGCCCGUUCGGUUUCACCGCCGAGCGGGGUUGGACUUGGGGGCUUGCCGCUUCGCCGCGGCUCCCCUUAAAUGCAUCGGUUUCGGGUCUCUGUGGGAGUCACCCCUUGGGCGUUGUAUAACCCUCGCUGUCUGGGAACUCCACGCGACGUCCGCGUCGUUGAAGGGCCUUGAAGAAACCUCGACCUGCUGUAGAGUGGCGGUCAAUGUUAAAUCGAGAUCUGACCUCAAAUCAGGUAGGACUACCCGCUGAACUUAAGCAUAUCAAUAAGCGGAGGA